GCGGCGCGGCAGCAGCAGGAGGCCCCAUUAGCUAAAGUGGUGCUUCAGGUUAAGAACAGUUUCAGAUUAAGAACGGACCUCCGGAACGAAUUAAGUACUUAACCCGAGGCACCACUGUAAAGUAAGGUAUUGUUCGUAGAAAUGGAACACUUAAUGUAUUGAAUAAUGGUUUGGCCCCAUUUCCAACUUGGAAAACAAGUAGGUAUAACAUGUAUGGAGGGUUGGCAUUUACAUGCCAUGUAAAUCACAAAGAGGUAUUUCUCGAAACCAGUUAUCCCCACCCCCCCUUGAAUAAAGGAGUACUUAAAGAAUUGCUUAAAAGUAGCAUUUCACAUGUGUGAUACAUGAAAUAAACCUCAAAACUUGUUUCACUUUAAGGAUACAGUGAUAUAAAGCUUGUUCCCUCCUUGCCUUUCCCUUCCCUUGCAUGCAGCAAAAACAAAAAAACAUUUAUGGUUUAUUGGCAAUUAUAGCUGGUCAUUUUGGCAUAAUUAGUCAGGUUACAAUUUGGAAGUUUCUAAGUGCCAUGAGGGAGAGGCAAGGGAAGGAGGUAGUGCGUAAGCCCAAAGCUCAUGCAAUGGCUUACCAUUGUGUUUCAGUCGUCCCAAUCUAUGUUCUAGCAUUUUCCAUAUAACUUGAGUUUUCAUCUGGAGGUCGGGCUCAAUUCUGAUAUAUGUCCUGGAGACUUAAGUAUUUGUUGCGUUCUGACAGGAUGUAGUUGUCAUGUCAUGCUAAAUUUUAUAAAGGGAAGACGAAUAAGUGGUAGUAGAUACUGAAUUGUUUACUUUUAUUUCUCACUGAAGCUCCUCCUGAGAAGUUUGUCUUCUGAUGGGCAGGAAUGUGAUUGGGAGGAAAAGGUUUGGGGAUACAUUUCUUUUAAAGGAUCCCCUUUCCCUUUCCUAUGCUUUUCAACAGCAUCACUGAAUAACCUCAUCCCUGUUUUAUAGGAAUGUGGCAGCAACCCAUAUUCUGCUUCUGUCAUGUUUAGCUUGCCCCGCAGUUAUGGCUGGAGAAUCUUUGAAAACUGAUCUCUUGCUCUCACCUUAAUUUAUCGGUUGUAUGGAUUUGACGCCUUGCUGAAUAUGUAUGGUGUGCAUUAUAUAAUACUUAAUAUUUUAUUUUCAAUCACAAACCUGGCUCUGCUGUUUCCAGGGCUUUUGCUUUGGCAUAACUGCGCCAUAACAGUAAGUGAAAAGUAACUGUCUUGAUGUAUGAAGUGAGAAUUGUAGACAAGUUGUACAGAGACUGUAUAAACAGCUGUUUCCUCCCCGCAGAACUUCAAUAAAACAUUACAAACUUG